CAGUCGCCACGGUAAUACGAAGGGUGCAAGCGUUAAUCGGAAUUACUGGGCGUAAAGCGUGCGCAGGCGGUUUGUUAAGACAGAUGUGAAAUCCCCGGGCUCAACCUGGGAACUGCAUUUGUGACUGGCAAGCUAGAGUGUGGCAGAGGGGGGUGGAAUUCCGCGUGUAGCAGUGAAAUGCGUAGAGAUCGGGAGGAACAUCAGUGGCGAAGGCGGCCAUCUGGGACAACACUGACGCUGAGGCACGAAAGCGUGGGGAGCAAACAGGAUUAGAUACCCCCGUAGUCCCUGUCUCUUAUAC
rnacentral:rRNA from 1 species